rnacentral:rRNA from 1 species
UACGAAGGGGGCUAGCGUUGCUCGGAAUUACUGGGCGUAAAGCGCACGUAGGCGGCUUCUUAAGUCGGUGGUGAAAUCCUGGAGCUCAACUCCAGAACUGCCUUCGAUACUGGGAAGCUCGAGUCCGGGAGAGGUGAGUGGAACUGCGAGUGUAGAGGUGAAAUUCGUAGAUAUUCGCAAGAACACCAGUGGCGAAGGCGGCUCACUGGCCCGGUACUGACGCUGAGGUGCGAAAGCGUGGGGAGCAAACAGGG